CGUGAAAUUGUUGAAAGGGAAGCGCUUGUGACCAGACUUGGGCUUGGUUGAUCAUCGGGUUCUCCCCGGUGCACUCUUCCGCCCAGGCCAGCAUCAGUUCGCCCUGGGGGAUAAAGGCAUCGGGAACGUGGCUCUCUCCGGGGAGUGUUAUAGCCCGUUGCGUAAUACCCUGCGGCGGACUGAGGUUCGCGCAUUCGCAAGGAUGCUGGCGUAAUGGUCAUCAGUG
rnacentral:rRNA from 1 species